AUGAAGCAAGCAAAGGAACCGCAUGAAGCACGCCUGUCGCAACAACAGUCCCAGAAGAGCCGGCCGAAGGCGGCCUCUCAUGGGCCGCGAGGGGCGGCCUCCAAGGUCGCCGGCUCGUCCCCGGCCGUGACCAAGCCGCAGAAGAAGCCCGCGCAGCGGAACAAGCCCGCGGCCCCGCCCGCCGCCGUCGCCGAACCUCCUCCCGCCGCGCACGAGGUGUUCGAGGAAAUGGCAACCCCAUCCUCGUUCAUGGACCUCCUCCAAAACGCGGAGGUGGACCUCGGAGCUCCGCCCCUAGACCCCUUUAGGGUUGGUGACGACUUGGAGGAAAAGGAGGAAGAUGAGGAGGAUGAAGGGGAUGACGAGGAGGAGGUGGCCGAGAUAGGGGAGGAGGCAUUCACCGCCGCUUCCCGCCCACACGCACGGUCGACAAACUACACCGAGCCGGAAGAUGUCCUCUUGGUUCGUGCUUGGGCAGCUGUGGGAAUGGAUGCAACCACCGGCACCGAUCAAACCGGUAAACGGUAUUGGCAAAGGAUCGAGGACGUCUAUUGUAGGAUCAAGCCGAAGAAUAGUGGGUUCAUCCAUCGCACUUUCCGGUCGCUUCAAGGCCGGUGUGAGUUGAUCAAGCCCGCUUGUGCUCGUUGGAGUGCGGCCAUGGACCAAGUGAGGGAUGCACCACCUAGUGGAACCGUGGAGAGCGACUAUGAGACAAUUGCCGGCAUGAGGUACAAGGAGAUGGCCGCUUCCAAGGGCAAGCCAUUCCCAUUUAAGCAUGUUUGGUCAAUUCUUCAAACCUUUGACAAGUGGAAGUUGAGGGAUCAAGAGACCGCACCCAAGAAGUCGGCAAUGCUAAGGAUGGAUGAUAGUGAAGAUGGAACUUGGGCAAGCCCGAGGGAACCAAGAAGGGCAAGCUAA
rnacentral:rRNA from 1 species